UACGAAGGGUGCAAGCGUUACUCGGAAUUACUGGGCGUAAAGCGUGCGUAGGCGGUUCGUUAAGUCUGUCGUGAAAGCCCUGGGCUCAACCUGGGAAUUGCGAUGGAUACUGGCGAGCUAGAGUACGGUAGAGGAUGGUGGAAUUCCCGGUGUAGCGGUGAAAUGCGUAGAGAUCGGGAGGAACACCCGUGGCGAAGGCGGCCAUCUGGACCAGUACUGACGCUGAGGCACGAAAGCGUGGGGAGCGAACGGG
rnacentral:rRNA from 1 species